GCUUUAUUUUUUUUUUUUCUGUGAAAAAUAUUUUCAUGAAAAUCAAAGGGCUUAGGAGAAGAUCUUGGUUUUGACUUAAAGGUUGUGGUUAAUGCCAAAGCCUCCAUGCUUUCAGCAGUGUGAGUAUUGGUUGGUGGGUAACAGGUUUGCUCUAGAACCAAUUUGUUUCCGUGUAAGCUUAAAAAAAAAUCUUUUAACGAUAACAAAUGUUUCAGCUUCAUCUGACAGCGAUGCUUUGGUAAGGCCAGAACAGAUUCCUGCCAGAACUGUGUUAUUUUGGUAACCCAAUUGGUUUUCCCAUCUCCUUCCAUACCAGUAAAGCGCCCGAGCCCCCAGCUGCCUGCGGAGGGGGGAGCAGUGCCUGAGCAAGGACCUGAGCUUGUCCUGUGCAGCGUGACAGCUUUUCUCUCGGGUCAGCUUGAUUUCUUUAAGAGUCCUUUAGGGAGAGCUUUGUGGAAACCCAAGUGCACCCUGAGGACCAGACCGCCUUAUGUACACAGCGGCUGAUUUCCUCAAGAAGCAGCAAAGGUUUGUGCUUCCUCACUGCCCCCUCAAAAGACAUGCGGAAUCUCCCAUUGCACCAUA